rnacentral:lncRNA from 1 species
CCUUCUCCACCGCUCACUCGCAUCCCACACACUCGCCUUGCGGAGAACUGUCUUGCGCCGGUGACGAGGCAUGCGACGUCGGAAAGGAGCCAGGGGGCGACGGAGGCGAGGAGGUGGAAGAACGCCAUCUAGCAGCUCCACCGGACCCAACAUCGGGGGUGUCCCGCGGCGGAGACGAGGCAGGCUGCGCUGUCCUCGAGGUGUUGCGGCUUGCGGCCACGGGGGAGGAGGCUGAGGAGGCCCCCUAGUUGUGCUCCGACGGAUCCCAGAUGGAGAGCCCGAGCGCUAGCAUGGGGAGGAACCACCGGUUGCAGCGGUGGCGACGGAGAGGAGGCGCGGACGAAGGAGCUGUGAUGGAGGUGGUCGGGCUUAGGUGUGGCGGGGGCAGGCGGAGAGGAGGCCCGGCGAAGGAUCUGUGAUGGAGAUGGCCGCGCUUAGGUGCGGCGGGGGCGACGGAAAGGAGGCGCGGCGAAGGAGCUGCGCUGGCGAUUGCCGCAUUUAGGUGCGGCGGGUGUCGAGAUGCAGCCGGAGAUCUAUGCUGCGUGGUGGCACUGCUUCCGUCGGCACUGGCCGCGCACUUCCUGGUGGUCACCACGGAGCUCCACCUUGGCGUUCACGAGUUUGAACUACGCAAGGACGGGGCGGCUCGCUGGACUAGCCAUGCCAUGUCUACUACCAAUGGUGCCCGAGCCGGCUGUCAACGAAGAGAUGGUGUCCUGAGGUAUGCCAUGUUUCUCGGUUGUUUUCAUACGAAUUGUGCAUAACUCUUGACCAUGGAGAUUACAAGUUCGCGCAUCUACCGAGCGUGUGAGAAGCUCAUCUGGUUCUGGUAGAGUGUGGAGUUAGGGCUUUCGAUCAAUUUCAUGUCAAAAUGUUGGCAACACGUUCUAUAUUUCAAUGGCAAAUAUCAGAUGGCAAGAUUUAGAAAUUGUUUGCCUUGCAUUUUUGAAAUAUAACCAAUUUGAAUCAAAAUCCAUGGCAAAUUUGCAUAGUUGGGCAGUGAAAUGUAAUGUUAACAAUUCUGGGAUUUUGUACAUUAUGCUAUAUUACAACAAAUAAAAGAACAAAAAAUGUGCCACCACUUCAGAUUUGUUUUGUAUGUAUAGGUGGGGAGGAAAACAUCCCAUAGCUGAUGUAUCGUUCAUUGACAAAAAUGAUAGUAAAAUGGUUUAUAGUCGUGGCAAUUGCUAUAGAUUAUUUAGUAUUGGUAUGAUGGCAAGUUAAAAAUUUGUUCUUAUAACAUUUUUUCAAGUUUUGCCACUCUACUGACUGAAAAUCAUUUGUUUUGUGUGAUCUGAACAAAACAGAGAUACAUACUAGUCUUCCAGGACAUAAUGGUAUUUUUUGUGUCCCUAGAUUUUGUUGUAGUGGUGAUAGGCUAUGAGUUUUGAGAAGAAAAUAAAUGAUUUGUGGCUGGAUUGAUCAGGCUAUGUGCGCUGAAUCUGUAGUGAGGAAAGGGAUUUUUAGAGUUUGUGGUCAUCUUGUUGAACAACAUCAGCGAUAAUUAAACUGAAAAGGGAUAUGGAGUAACCAAAGCUUGCUUUUCAUUUAGAGAGAAUGAUUCAGGACUAAACAUGUACUGUACGAUAUAUUUGUUCUUAAAUUUGCCGUCUCACUGUAGAUUUUUUUUUAAUUUUUCCUGAAAGAUGGGAAAUAUAGUUAUCAAAUGAUGGUAAAUUCAGUUCUCGGAUCAUGGAAAAAUCAUUGCUUUCUUGCCAUGGCAACUUUCGAUUUUGGAUCAUGGCGCAAAUUUACUGUUUUCUACCAUGGCAACUAAUCUUAUACUUUUUGCCAUGUAAACAUCAAAAAAUUAGUUGAUUGAUCCUGACAAAAUUUAGUUUACGCAUCAUAGCAAACUUGCUUCCUGUAAGAUGGCAAACAUAGUUAUCGAAUCAUGGCAAAUUUAGUUCUCGAAUCAUGGCGAAUUCAUUGCUUCCUUGCCAUGGCAACUUUUGAUUUUUUAAAUUUUCGCGGCAAUUCUUUAAAUUGUCGAAAACAACACAAAAUGGCGAAUAUUGCCAUGGCAAGUUUUACUAAUUAUUUCACCUUCAUUAACAUGGCAAAAUUACCUACAUCCUCAUGGCAAUUUUAACACUUUAUUGCCAUGGCAAGUUUUACUAUUUAUUUUCCAUGGCAAAUUUACCUUUAUUAACAUGGCAAAUUCACCUAAGUCCCCAUGGCAAUAUUUAACUUUUAUUGCCAUGGCAAGUUUUACCUAAAUCGCCAUGGAAAUAUUGAACUUUUAUUGCCAUGGCAAGUUUCACUAUUUAUUUGCCAUGGAUAAUAUACCUUGGUUCAGGAUGUUGUGUAGUUGAUAUUUGCAAAGUUCAUGGCAAUUUUAUCUCUGUCCUUGUUCAUAAACAAUAGCAAAUGUAUACUGUAUAAGGCUCUAUAUGACAAAAUUCAUGUGAUUUGCGGUGGCACCUUUUUAUUUGAAAAUAUGGUAAAUUUACCAUGGCAAGAUAUGAUUUUCAGAAACAUGGCAAAGUUUAUAGAUAUUCAAAAACAUGGCAAACUUGCCAUGUCAACUUAAUAUGCUCAAAAACAUGGCAAACUUGCCAUGGCAAAUUAAGAUGUUCAAAAAACAAGGCAAAUUAAUAUGUACAAAAACAUGGCAGUUUUUAGGCCUACAAAUAUUGUAAUUUGUUUAAAAUUCUUGAAGGCAAUUGUGUUUUUGGGCUGGGCUGGUUCGCUGGAGGGGAGGGAGGGAGGUCAUUCGGGAAGGAGAGCUCUUUCGAUCAAACAAACACGUUUGUCGCGAGGGAGCUGAUUUACCGAACAAAAGGUUCGGUUUGGGAUGCCCCUAGACCGAAUGGUCGGUGGUUCUCGCGGUCCAAUUUUUUCUAUACAUGCACAAUGGCAAUUUUUAUACAAAUCUUUUUUGUUCUAUCUUAUAUGGCCAUUUUUUCUUUCUUUUUUUGUGUUUUUCAUAAUAUCAUGGCAAAUUUUUCACACUCAUUUGCCAUGAAGGGUGCAUGAACAUCAUCGCAAAUCAUUUCUGUAAUAUACUUUUUUUUCAUGAUCAUAUGGUAGUUUUGUUCAUUAAAGGAUGGCAACUUUUUGUUUCUGGAUUUUUUUCAGGCAGUAUUUUUCUUCAUCAAGUGCAUUUUUAGGCCUUUUCGUGUGUUCUCUUUUUUUUGGGACAAAAGCAGUUUUGGGCCUUCAAUAUUGUAAUUCUUUGUUUUUUUAAUUCUUGAAGGCAAUGAUGUUUCUGGGCUUGUCCCAUUUUGGGCUGGUUCGCUGGAGGGGAGGAGCUAGAUCGCUAGCGACAAGUUUGUGCGAUGCGGGAUCGUUCGGGCUGGAGGGGUACUUCUACCGAACGAGUUUGUUCGUUCCAGCACCCUUCCAGUACGAACGAUUUGUUCGGGAUGGGGUGCCUCCAGGCCGAACGUACGCGCGUUAUCGGCGUCCUUUUUUCUUCUUUCUCUUUUUUAUUUAAAGAAAAGGCAAGCAGUUUCUGCCCUAUGCAUUUCAAAACGAGGUAAUAUCAUCCGGAGUCACACAAUUUGCAUCGCAUGUUAGUUUGGUGCUAGAACUUUCAAAAAUAUGUUUUUAUGGUCACCUAACUUGACUCAAGCGUGCAAAUACGGUCACAGUAUGCAUAUGCAGUCGUAUCCAUGUAUAUGACCCCACCUAUCAGUGAGUGAUAGCACUAGGCGCGACAUAGCUUUACAAAAAAAACACCCUCAUAUUUUUUUAGUUGAACAAAAAGUCAACCACCGGGACACAUAUUUGCACAAAAUAUUCACAUUUUUUAUUUACAGAAAAACCCUGACCACAGUGCUGCCGGAAAAUUGACAACAAAAACAGGGUCGGUGCCUCGGUGGGACUCGAACCAACAACCAAGACUUCUAAUACGGGACGAUCUAGCAUUUUUCUUUGAGAAUCGGACGAUCUAGCUACUACAAGAGCCAGGCCAGUACGCACGUUAAAUAACUUAUAUCUAAUGUGAAACAAAAAAAAACUUAUAUUUAAAUGUGGAGCUUUAAUGGGCUGCGCAUACUGCGGCCCACUUUGCACGCGC